rnacentral:lncRNA from 1 species
UGGAUAUCAAAGGGAACUGAGAUCAGAAAAAGGAACCCUCCCUCCCACCCGCAAAAAAAAAAAAAAAAAAGCUCAAAGCAAGAGAGAGGACAGGAAGGAGAGGAUGGGAUGCUGCAAGCAGCUUGGAGGUCAGCUUUUAAAUCUGGGCUGGUCCCAGCAACGGCGCCCCUCAUAGCUCAGUUGGUAAAGAAUCUGCCUGCAAUGCAGGAGACUCCGGUUGGAUUCCUAUGUCAGGAAGAUCCCCUGGGGAAGGGAUAGGUCACCCACUCCAGGAUUCUGACCUGAAGAGUUCAAUGGACUGUAUAGUUCAUGGGGUCGCAAACAGUCGGACACGACUGAGUGAACUUCACUUUCUUUUUCUUUACUCCUAGCAGGGGAAAAGGGAAGAACUCUGGGGCAGGGUGGGGACAGCCCACGGAGAACCUUUCAGGGCCCUGGGGACUGUUAGAAGUGCGCGCAGUAGGCAAGAGUUUCGAAGCUUGAACUAACUUGCUGCGGGGGGAGGCGCCGCGAGCCGCAGCCAUUUAGGUUUCAGGUCUUUCCAGCGCCCUUACGGAAUCGUGGUCCUCCUGCGUCUGCUGGGGUUACCACCGCCGCCCGUGAUCGCCCAGGCCGGGACCCCGUGCCCACAGGUCUCCACUGGGGUUUCUUUCCGAAUCGCCAGUGCCAGCCCAAACCUUGGCCACAGCUUUGUUGCGUCCUCCUCUUAGUGAUCGGCUCCUGGUCCCCGGCUCCGCCCCCAGCACCCGGAGCCAGGACCCCGGAAGUGCGCGUUGGCUGCUCGGGCGAAGAAGAGAAGAGAGGGAGGGUGGCCACCUUGAUCCAGCUAAAGCAUCUCCAGGAGGCCUUCUCUGGAUGUCACAUCGAGGCUGCCCUUCUGCCACAACACGGAACUGGUGAUCCCCGAGUGCAUGGACAUGGCUUUGCUCAGCAAUAUCCUAGCGGCCUAUUCCUUUGUCUCAGGAAGCUGGCUGACUUUCUCAAGAUCAUUUCCUGA